UACGUAGGGUGCAAGCGUUAAUCGGAAUUACUGGGCGUAAAGCGUGCGCAGGCGGUCCGUUAAGACAGAUGUGAAAUCCCCGGGCUUAACCUGGGAACUGCAUUUGUGACUGGCGGACUCGAGUAUGGCAGAGGGGGGUAGAAUUCCACGUGUAGCAGUGAAAUGCGUAGAGAUGUGGAGGAAUACCGAUGGCGAAGGCAGCCCCCUGGGCCAAUACUGACGCUCAUGC
rnacentral:rRNA from 1 species